rnacentral:rRNA from 1 species
GAUGAACGCUGGCGGCGUGCCUAAUACAUGCAAGUCGAGCGAACAGACGAGGAGCUUGCUCCUCUGACGUUAGCGGCGGACGGGUGAGUAACACGUGGAUAACCUACCUAUAAGACUGGGAUAACUUCGGGAAACCGGAGCUAAUACCGGAUAACAUGUUGAACCGCAUGGUUCAACAGUGAAAGACGGUCUUGCUGUCACUUAUAGAUGGAUCCGCGCCGCAUUAGCUAGUUGGUAAGGUAACGGCUUACCAAGGCAACGAUGCGUAGCCGACCUGAGAGGGAGGUCGGCCACACUGGAACUGAGACACGGUCCAGACUCCUACGGGAGGCAGCAGUAGGGAAUCUUCCGCAAUGGGGGAAAGCCUGACGGAGCAACACCGCGUGAGUGAAGAAGGUCUUCGGAUCGUAAAACUCUGUUAUUAGGGAAGAACAAAUGUGUAAGUAACUAUGCACGUCUUGACGGUACCUAAUCAGAAAGCCACGGCUAACUACGUG